CUAACCCGGUACUUGUUGAUCCCUUCGGGGUGAGACGGGCCGGUCUAACGCUCGAACCCAUGCUGGUGCGGUUAGCGUAUGAACAGGUGUGACGCAGGAAGGUAGCUGAGCCAGGCGAUGGUAUCCGUAAGGUGAACCUGGUGUAAGGAUGUAGGGCUGACGAUAGGCAAAUCCGUCGUCUGUAUGCCUGAGACCCGACGCGUACCCGUAAGGGGAAUUCAGUGAUCCUAUGCUGCCGAGAAAAGCAUCGACGCGAGGUUGCAGCCGCCCGUACCCGAAACCGACUCAGGUGGUCAGGUAGAGAAUACCAAGGAGAUCGAGAUAAUCGUGGUUAAGGAACUCGGCAAAAUGCCCCCGUAACUUCGGGAGAAGGGGGGCCGGACACGUGACCGGAUUUACUCCGUGAGCGUUGAAGGCCGCAGAGACCAGUGGGAAGCGACUGUUUACUAAAAA
rnacentral:rRNA from 1 species